rnacentral:rRNA from 1 species
UACAGAGGGGGCAAGCGUUAUUCGGAAUUUAUUGGGCGUAAAGGGCGCGUAGGCGGCUUUGCAAGUGACGGGUGAAAGCCCUCGGCUUAACCGAGGAACUGCCUGUCAGACUGUGAGGCUUGAGACCGGGGAGAGGUGAGUGGAAUUCCCAGUGUAGCGGUGAAAUGCGUAGAUAUUGGGAGGAACACCAGUGGCGAAGGCGGCUCACUGGACCGGAACUGACGCUGAGGCGCGAAAGCGUGGGGAGCAAACAGG